CGAGAGUUGUAUAUGUCUGUAUGUGUGUGUGUGUGUGCAUUUCUGACAUAUGCAUAGAUCUCCUCUACUGUCAGGAUUUUCCGUACGAAGUCAUCGUCUCCAACUUUGAAGAAGAUCUAGAUAAGGCUGCCUUUCAUAAGCCAGCUCACUACUGCGUCGAGUCGGCAAGCAGAAAGGCAUUGGAUGUUGCCCGAACACUCACAGAUGAUGAGAGAAUGCCGGAUCUCGUGAUUGGUGCAGAUACUGUGGUUGCCAUGGACGACCAGAUAUACGAGAAACCGGGCAGUCGCACUGAGGCUAUCGACAUGCUCACUAAGCUUGUUGCUGGUAAGAGUCACACGGUUUACACUGGAGUUGCAUUGGUUACACAUAAACCUGAGUUUCGGCACGUCUUGAACGUGCAUUCAUUCUCGGAGCGCACUAGAGUCUUCAUGGCAGACUUGAGUCCAGCAGUGAUCGCUGCAUACGUCGAUACUGGUGAAUCAAUGGACAAGGCAGGUGGCUAUGGCAUCCAGGGUAAAGGGGGAUCGCUAAUCAAGGCCGUUGAAGGAGACUAUUUCAAUGUCAUGGGGUUUCCGCUGCACCGAUUCUGUACAGAACUCAUCAAACUCUACACAGAUCUUGGAGUUUUUUGAGACAUCAUGCAGUAACAGUAGGAGUGUUUAAUAUAGAUAUCUAUACUAUACACUCAUUAAAUAAGUUCAUUCGGUUGAUAGAUCUAUUUUAUACACUCCUAGUAACAGUGGGUUAUUUAUAAGGAACACAGAUGGCUCCUAAUUUACAUCAUGGCUGUGAUGUUCCAGAAAUUGGUCUCAGAAAUCACUCAAUGUAUAAUUAUGCUAGUGAUCAAGCGGUUAGAUCCUUACACAGUUUUCCAGCAGUGUGCGUGUACAAGGAAGUGAGAAAGCGUGGAAUAUCAGCACAAAAUAUUGUAGAGUUCCUGUGUAAGUCUAACAAGAAAUAUGCUGUGUUUGUCCAAUAUGUCAAGUAUAUAAGUAAAUUGAACGAUUAAUUGCCACUAGAUGUCAGCACAACUGAAUGCCUAAAUAAAUGGCGAUAUUGUGAUUUUGUGAUAACUAUGCAAUUUGCAUGAACUUUGCUUAUAUUAGGCGGAGAACGUUUUGCGUGAUAAAAACGAGUUCAAAUAUUUCCCAAAAUGUAUUUCUCAGUGACUAAAUAGUGGUGUGUGUUUGUAUGUAGUUUGUAAAUAAAUAAAUAAGCUUGUGUGUGCGCGUGCAUGCGCGUGUGCGCG